AGGAUAAACGCUGGCGGCGUGCCUAACACAUGCAAGUCGAACGCGCUUUCGGGCUUCGGUGCGAGAGCGAGUGGCGGACGGGUGAGUAACACAUGGGUACCUACCUUGGAGUGAGGGAUACCGGCGAGAAAUCGCCGACAAUACCGCAUAGGCUUCUUCACAAGGGAAGCAAAGUGACGCGAGUCACGCUUUGAGAUGGGCCUGUGGCCGAUUAGCUAGUUGGGGGGGUAACGCUUCCAAGGCGACGAUCGGUAGCUGGUCUGAGAGGACGAUCAGCCACACUGGGAUUGAGAACGGCCCAGACUCCUACGGGGGGCAGCAGUGAGGAAUUUUCCGCAAUGGAGGCAACUCUGACGGAGCAACGCCGCGUGCAGGAGGAAGGUUUCGGAUCGUAAACUGCUUUUCUCGGGGACGAGCAAGGACGGUACCCGAGGAACGAAGCCCCGGCUAACUACGUGCCAGCAGCCGC
rnacentral:rRNA from 1 species